AAACAAUGCUCUGUGCAGCUGGGGCUCUCUGGCAUGACUGCAGUAAUCCUGAACUCGCUGUAAACUGCUUUUUCAUUCAACCCAACUUGGAAAAAGGCAGACAGGCUGUAGUCUAAACACCCCAAGAGUCUCUAUGUGCUUUGUUCCAGCACACUGCGCUCUCCUGUGAUUUAAAACAAUGUGUCUUUGUGCUUAUCUUCUGGGCUUGGCAAGGCAGGAUUUACCUCUGAGUUUUUGUCUCAACAGGAGAAAUUGCUGUCUAACAGAUCCUUUGUGGACUUCCGACCAAAACCAUCCAGUGCAACAUAUGGCUAUGUUGUGCUUCCUUUUCCCUGGCUUUAGGAGUGCAAGGUGCAAAGUACAUAAAGAUCCAUCCUCUAUGUCCUCACACACAACAGAAUCACCUUGAAG
rnacentral:lncRNA from 1 species